rnacentral:rRNA from 1 species
UAAUACAGAGGGUGCAAGCGUUAAUCGGAAUUACUGGGCGUAAAGGGCAUGUAGGUGGGUAUUUAAGUCGAUUGUGAAAGCCCCGAGCUUAACUUGGGAACUGCAGUCGAUACUGAAUAUCUAGAGUAUGGUAGAGGGAAGUGGAAUUUCCGGUGUAGCGGUGAAAUGCGUAGAUAUCGGAAGGAACACCAGUGGCGAAGGCGUCUUCCUGGACCAAUACUGACACUAAAGUGCGAAAGCGUGGGGAGCAAACAGGAUUAGAUACCCUGGUAGUCCACGCCGUAAACGAUGAGAACUGGGCGUCGGGAGGCUAUGUCCUCUUGGUGCCGAAGCUAACGCGUUAAGUUCUCCGCCUGGGGAGUACGGCCGCAAGGCUA